AACGAACGCUGGCGGCAGGCCUAACACAUGCAAGUCGAACGCUGUAGCAAUACAGAGUGGCAGACGGGUGAGUAACGCGUGGGAACAUGCCCUUCGGUUCGGAAUAACUCAGGGAAACUUGAGCUAAUACCGGAUACGCCCUUAGGGGGAAAGAUUUAUUGCCGAAGGAUUGGCCCGCGUCCGAUUAGCUAGUUGGUGAGGUAAUGGCUCACCAAGGCGACGAUCGGUAGCUGGUCUGAGAGGAUGAUCAGCCACACUGGGACUGAGACACGGCCCAGACUCCUACGGGAGGCAGCAGUGGGGAAUAUUGGACAAUGGGCGCAAGCCUGAUCCAGCCAUGCCGCGUGAGUGAUGAAGGCCCUAGGGUUGUAAAGCUCUUUCGCCAGGGACGAUAAUGACGGUACCUGGAUAAGAAGCCCCGGCUAACUACGUGCCAGCCGCCGCAGUAA
rnacentral:rRNA from 1 species